rnacentral:rRNA from 2 species
GACGAACGCUGGCGGCGUGCUUAACACAUGCAAGUCGAACGGAAAGGUCUCUUCGGAGACACUCGAGUGGCGAACGGGUGAGUAACACGUGGGCGAUCUGCCCUGCACUUCGGGAUAAGCCUGGGAAACUGGGUCUAAUACCGGAUAGGACCACGGGAUUCAUGUCCUGUGGUGGAAAGCUUUUGCGGUGUGGGAUGGGCCCGCGGCCUAUCAGCUUGUUGGUGGGGUAACGGCCUACCAAGGCGACGACGGGUAGCCGGCCUGAGAGGGUGUCCGGCCACACUGGGACUGAGAUACGGCCCAGACUCCUACGGGAGGCAGCAGUGGGGAAUAUUGCACAAUGGGCGCAAGCCUGAUGCAGCGACGCCGCGUGGGGGAUGACGGCCUUCGGGUUGUAAACCUCUUUCACCAUCGACGAAGGUUCGGGUUUUCUCGGAUUGACGGUAGAUGGAGAAGAAGCACCGGCCAACUACGUGCCAGCAGCCGCGGUAAUACGUAGGGUGCGAGCGUUGUCCGGAAUUACUGGGCGUAAAGAGCUCGUAGGUGGUUUGUCGCGUUGUUCGUG